rnacentral:rRNA from 1 species
UUUAAUUAACUUGGUAACGCAGCUAACGCGUGAAGUAGACCGCCUGGGGAGUACGGUCGCAAGAUUAAAACUCAAAGGAAUUGACGGGGACCCGCACAAGCGGUGGAUGAUGUGGAUUAAUUCGAUGCAACGCGAAAAACCUUACCUACCCUUGACAUGUACGGAAGACCGAAGAGAUUUGGUUGUGCUCGAAAGAGAACCGUAACACAGGUGCUGCAUGGCUGUCGUCAGCUCGUGUCGUGAGAUGUUGGGUUAAGUCCCGCAACGAGCGCAACCCUUGUCAUUAGUUGCUACGAAAGGGCACUCUAAUGAGACUGCCGGUGACAAACCGGAGGAAGGUGGGGAUGACGUCAAGUCCUCAUGGCCCUUAUGGGUAGGGCUUCACACGUCAUACAAUGGUACAUACAGAGCGCCGCCAACCCGCGAGGGGGAGCUAAUCGCAGAAAGUGUAUCGUAGUCCGGAUUGUAGUCUGCAACUCGACUACAUGAAGUUGGAAUCGCUAGUAAUCGCGGAUCAGCAUGUCGCGGUGAAUACGUUCCCGGGUCUUGUACACACCGCCCGUCACACCAUGGGAGCGGGUUUUACCAGAAGUAGGUAGCUUAACCGCAAGGAGGGCGCUUACCACGGUAGGAUUCGUGACUGGGGUGAAGUCGUAACAAGGUAGCCGUAUCGGAAGGUGC